rnacentral:rRNA from 1 species
UACGUAGGGUGCAAGCGUUGUCCGGAAUUAUUGGGCGUAAAGAGCUCGUAGGCGGCCUGUCGCGUCUGCUGUGAAAAUCCAGGGCUCAACCCUGGACCUGCAGUGGGUACGGGCAGACUAGAGUGCGGUAGGGGAGAUCGGAAUUCCUGGUGUAGCGGUGAAAUGCGCAGAUAUCAGGAGGAACACCGGUGGCGAAGGCGGAUCUCUGGGCCGUAACUGACGCUGAGGAGCGAAAGCGUGGGGAGCAAACGGG